GUGCAUAUGAUGGAAAACAUUUAGUGUCCUGAGACCUAUGAUGUCUUCAAAGGAACCACUGAUGCGC